GACGAACGCUGGCGGCGUGCUUAACACAUGCAAGUCGAACGGUAAGGCCCUUCGGGGUACACGAGUGGCGAACGGGUGAGUAACACGUGGGUGAUCUGCCCUGCACUUUGGGAUAAGCCUGGGAAACUGGGUCUAAUACCGGAUAGGACCAUGGACUUCACGGUUUGUGGUGGAAAGCUUUUGCGGUGUGGGAUGGGCCCGCGGCCUAUCAGCUUGUUGGUGGGGUAAUGGCCUACCAAGGCAACGACGGGUAGCCGGCCUGGGAGGGUGUCCGGCCACACUGGGACGGAGAUACGGCCCAGACUCCUACGGGAGGCAGCAGUGGGGAAUAUUGCACAAUGGGCGCAAGCCUGAUGCGGCGACGCCGCGUGGGGGAUGACGGCCUUCGGGUUGUAAACCUCUUUCAGUAGGGACGAAGCGCAAGUGACGGUACCUACAGAAGAAGCACCGGCCAACUACGUGCCAGCCGCCGCCGUAA
rnacentral:rRNA from 1 species